GACGAACGCUGGCGGCGUGCUUAACACAUGCAAGUCGAACGGUGAAGGGGUCUGCUUUUGUGGGCCCUGGAUGAGUGGCGAACGGGUGAGUAACACGUGAGUAACCUGCCCCCUUCUUCUGGAUAACCGCAUGAAAGUGUGGCUAAUACGGGAUAUUCUGGGUCUGUCGCAUGAUGGGUCUGGGAAAGAUUGCGCCUUUGGGUGUUUUUGGUGGGGGAUGGGCUCGCGGCCUAUCAGCUUGUUGGUGGGGUGAUGGCCUACCAAGGCGGUGACGGGUAGCCGGCCUGAGAGGGUGGACGGUCACACUGGGACUGAGACACGGCCCAGACUACUACGGGAGGCAGCAGUGGGGAAUAUUGCACAAUGGGCGCAAGCCUGAUGCAGCGACGCCGCGUGAGGGAGGGAGGCCUUCGGGUUGUAAACCUCUUUCGCCAGUGAAGCAGGCCUGCUCCUUGUUGGUGGGUUGACGGUAGCUGGAGAAGAAGCGCCGGCUAACUACGUG
rnacentral:rRNA from 1 species